GUGCGUUCCGGGUUGAGUGAUGCGUUGGAACGCUUUGAAGAAGAUGAAAUGGUAGGGAUUGUGCAUUUCAACAAAGACGACUGCGUGCGCUCGGCGCUUUGUCAGCGCGCGUUGCAAGCCUAUGGUUGAAUGAGCUCUUAUAAUGCCAGCAGACAUGGCCAAGGGAAGUCAUUGUUUGUACCCGCAAACAGGAUAACACCGGCCAUGUCUGUUUAUUUAUUGCUCAAUGAAUUUAAGAUAAAGCUUAAUUAUAUCAGUCCUGUCUUAAAAUAAUUUUAAUAAUGUAAUCAUCUGAAUUACACACAUACUAUUUAUCUUCAAAAUAUUACUGUUGCCAGAAAAGAUGAGUGGCUACAUUCAUAAAAAUAUUAUAC
rnacentral:misc_RNA from 1 species